rnacentral:misc_RNA from 1 species
AACAAUUUUCUCACUAUCAGCAGCCACAACAACAGCAGCAGCCGCCACAGCAGCAGCAACAGCAAUGGUCACAGCAGGUGCAGCCUUCACAGCCACCCCCAAUGCAAUCUCAAGUAAGACCCUCCUCUCCAAAUGUGUACCCUCCGUACCAGCCAAAUCAAGCAACAAACCCAUCACCUGCAGAAACACUGCCAAACAGCAUGGCCAUGCAAAUGCCAUACUCGGGAGUUCCACCA